rnacentral:rRNA from 1 species
AGGAUGAACGCUGGCGGCGUGCUUAACACAUGCAAGUCGAACGAUGACCCGGUGCUUGCACCGGUGAUUAGUGGCGAACGGGUGAGUAACACGUGAGUAACCUGCCCUUAACUCUGGGAUAAGCCUGGGAAACUGGGUCUAAUACCGGAUAUGACUCCUCAUCGCAUGGUGGGGGGUGAAAGCUUUAUUGUGGUUUUGGAUGGACUCGCGGCCUAUCAGCUUGUUGGUGAGGUAAUGGCUCACCAAGGCGACGACGGGUAGCCGGCCUGAGAGGGUGACCGGCCACACUGGGACUGAGACACGGCCCAGACUCCUACGGGAGGCAGCAGUGGGGAAUAUUGCACAAUGGGCGAAAGCCUGAUGCAGCGACGCCGCGUGAGGGAUGGACGGCCUUCGGUUGUAAACCUCUUUACAGUAGGAAGAAGCGAAAGUGACGUACCUGCAGAAGAAGCGCCGGCUAACUACGUGCCAGCAGCCGC